rnacentral:rRNA from 1 species
AUUGAACGCUGGCGGCAGGCCUAACACAUGCAAGUCGAACGGUAACAGGAAGAAGCUUGCUUCUUUGCUGACGAGUGGCGGACGGGUGAGUAAUGUCUGGGAAACUGCCUGAUGGAGGGGGAUAACUACUGGAAACGGUAGCUAAUACCGCAUAACGUCGCAAGACCAAAGAGGGGGACCUUCGGGCCUCUUGCCAUCGGAUGUGCCCAGAUGGGAUUAGCUAGUAGGUGGGGUAACGGCUCACCUAGGCGACGAUCCCUAGCUGGUCUGAGAGGAUGACCAGCCACACUGGAACUGAGACACGGUCCAGACUCCUACGGGAGGCAGCAGUGGGGAAUAUUGCACAAUGGGCGCAAGCCUGAUGCAGCCAUGCCGCGUGUAUGAAGAAGGCCUUCGGGUUGUAAAGUACUUUCAGCGGGGAAGAAAAGAGUAAAGUUAAUACCUUUGCUCAUUGACGUUACCCACAGAAGAAGCACCGGCUAACUCCGUG